CACUGUUCGUUGUAUAAGGGUAGGGGUAAAUGUUGGGUACGUUUUGAUAGAAUCCCUAUCGUUAGUUGUAAAUAGUAGUAAGCAAGGCUAGUUUAAAUUGGCGUAUGAAUGGAGAUAUAAAGGCAUGGCAUGGAGAUAGAGCAUAUGACCCGUGGGUCAAUGGUGGAGGCUCAGCCCAGUAAACUUAAAGUAUGGGGUCAACUUCAAAAUUCAAAAAGUUUUAGUUCGUUUUUCAUUUUAACGCAAGUCGUCAUUUCACGUGAAAGUCACCCACCUUUUCUUCUUAAAACACCUUUUGGCUAUCGGUAACUUCACGAACAUCGUUUUUUAAUACGUCUCGAAUGAAAUCUACGCCGCUGUAAAAGACUUUCUUCGUUAUAGAAGUCAAGAAUUCACUAUUUGUGCUGCUUGCACCUCAGUCUUUAUCUCAAAAUGAAAUGGAAAGAAAAAAAGAAACAGGCAAAAAGAACAAGUAGGCUACUUCAGGAUUUGGCAAAUAAUUCUAGUACUACGUUCUAGUCAUGUUUUUUCACGUUUGUGUUUGUUGCUAUGUAAAAAUAGAACAAGCACAAACAUU